GGUUAAGCGACUAAGCGUACACGGUGGAUGCCCUGGCAGUCAGAGGCGAUGAAGGACGUGCUAAUCUGCGAUAAGCGUCGGUGAGGUGAUAUGAACCGUUAUAACCGGCGAUUUCCGAAUGGGGAAACCCAGUGUGUUUCGACACACUAUCAUUAACUGAAUCCAUAGGUUAAUGAGGCGAACCGGGGGAACUGAAACAUCUAAGUACCCCGAGGAAAAGAAAUCAACCGAGAUUCCCCCAGUAGCGGCGAGCGAACGGGGAGGAGCCCAGAGCCUGAAUCAGUGUGUGUGUUAGUGGAAGCGUCUGGAAAGGCGCGCGAUACAGGGUGACAGCCCCGUACACAAAAAUGCACAUAUUGUGAGCUCGAUGAGUAGGGCGGGACACGUGGUAUCCUGUCUGAAUAUGGGGGGACCAUCCUCCAAGGCUAAAUACUCCUGACUGACCGAUAGUGAACCAGUACCGUGAGGGAAAGGCGAAAAGAACCCCGGCGAGGGGAGUGAAAAAGAACCUGAAACCGUGUACGUACAAGCAGUGGGAGCCUCUUUAUGGGGUGACUGCGUACCUUUUGUAUAAUGGGUCAGCGACUUAUAUUCUGUAGCAAGGUUAACCGAAUAGGGGAGCCGAAGGGAAACCGAGUCUUAACUGGGCGUUAAGUUGCAGGGUAUAGACCCGAAACCCGGUGAUCUAGCCAUGGGCAGGUUGAAGGUUGGGUAACACUAACUGGAGGACCGAACCGACUAAUGUUGAAAAAUUAGCGGAUGACUUGUGGCUGGGGGUGAAAGGCCAAUCAAACCGGGAGAUAGCUGGUUCUCCCCGAAAGCUAUUUAGGUAGCGCCUCGUGAAUUCAUCUCCGGGGGUAGAGCACUGUUUCGGCAAGGGGGUCAUCCCGACUUACCAACCCGAUGCAAACUGCGAAUACCGGAGAAUGUUAUCACGGGAGACACACGGCGGGUGCUAACGUCCGUCGUGAAGAGGGAAACAACCCAGACCGCCAGCUAAGGUCCCAAAGUCAUGGUUAAGUGGGAAACGAUGUGGGAAGGCCCAGACAGCCAGGAUGUUGGCUUAGAAGCAGCCAUCAUUUAAAGAAAGCGUAAUAGCUCACUGGUCGAGUCGGCCUGCGCGGAAGAUGUAACGGGGCUAAACCAUGCACCGAAGCUGCGGCAGCGACACUAUGUGUUGUUGGGUAGGGGAGCGUUCUGUAAGCCUGUGAAGGUGGCCUGUGAGGGUUGCUGGAGGUAUCAGAAGUGCGAAUGCUGACAUAAGUAACGAUAAAGCGGGUGAAAAGCCCGCUCGCCGGAAGACCAAGGGUUCCUGUCCAACGUUAAUCGGGGCAGGGUGAGUCGACCCCUAAGGCGAGGCCGAAAGGCGUAGUCGAUGGGAAACAGGUUAAUAUUCCUGUACUUGGUGUUACUGC
rnacentral:rRNA from 1 species